rnacentral:rRNA from 1 species
CCUACGGGAGGCAGCAGUGAGGAAUAUUGGACAAUGGGCGCAAGCCUGAUCCAGCCAUGCCGCGUGCAGGAUGACGGUCCUAUGGAUUGUAAACUGCUUUUGUACAGGAAGAAACAGUUCUACGUGUAGAACCUUGACGGUACUGUAAGAAUAAGGAUCGGCUAACUCCGUGCCAGCAGCCGCGGUAAUACGGAGGAUCCAAGCGUUAUCCGGAAUCAUUGGGUUUAAAGGGUCCGUAGGCGGUUUAGUAAGUCAGUGGUGAAAGCCCAUCGCUCAACGGUGGAGCGGCCAUUGAUACUGCUAAACUUGAAUUAUUAGGAAGUAACUAGAAUAUGUAGUGUAGCGGUGAAAUGCUUAGAGAUUACAUGGAAUACCAAUUGCGAAGGCAGGUUACUACUAAUGGAUUGACGCUGAUGGACGAAAGCGUGGGUAGCGAACAGGAUUAGAUACCCUGGUAGUCCACGCCGUAAACGAUGGAUACUAGCUGUUGGAAGCAAUUUCAGUGGCUAAGCGAAAGUGAUAAGUAUCCCACCUGGGGAGUACGUUCGCAAGAAUGAAACUCAAAUGAAAUUGACGG